GGGAGUUCACCUUGUGUAUCCGUUUUCUCUGAAACGAAUACAAAUAGCAGAUGGCCUCAGAAGGGCACCUAAUACAUUGCCCUGCCUCAAGGCUCUUUGAAAGACCAUAAGCUCUGAUACCAUUGUAAGGUGGCUGCAGCCCUCAGUGUGCCUUGACCCCGACUCACCAGGCAGGAGCCACAUCUCCAUUAAUAAGGGUUCUGCUAGGCAUUAAACACAGUAUGGGCAUUCAUGAGGGCAAACCAGAAAUCCCAGAGUUUGGAGAAUAUUUGAAGAAGCAGUUUGGGUUAAGGACCCGGGUCCUGGGGAUGGACUGAAAGCUAUGACCCCACCUGGGGCCAACAGCGUGAUUCAUUGCCUCCAAGUGCGCGCGUCUUGGGAAAAGGCGACAGGCCCUGCCUGGAGAGCCAGGAGACUUGAGGGGUAGACACAAGAACAACAGCUCUGGUCAUGGCUGUGAGUUGGUUAUAAGUUAACUUUAUGGGUCACUGAGUGUCUGGAAACAGACUAUAAAAAGAAGAAAGGGUGGCCCAAGCAGCUUUGUGUUGGAAAUGGUUGUGACCAGUUGCUCCUGGAAGGGAGAUGUAUUGACUGCAAUAAAACUUGAUGGGCUCA